AGUGAACGCUGGCGGUAGGCCUAACACAUGCAAGUCGAACGGCAGCACAGUAAGAGCUUGCUCUUACGGGUGGCGAGUGGCGGACGGGUGAGGAAUACAUCGGAAUCUACUUUUUCGUGGGGGAUAACGUAGGGAAACUUACGCUAAUACCGCAUACGACCUACGGGUGAAAGCAGGGGAUCUUCGGACCUUGCGCGAUUGAAUGAGCCGAUGUCGGAUUAGCUAGUUGGCGGGGUAAAGGCCCACCAAGGCGACGAUCCGUAGCUGGUCUGAGAGGAUGAUCAGCCACACUGGAACUGAGACACGGUCCAGACUCCUACGGGAGGCAGCAGUGGGGAAUAUUGGACAAUGGGCACAAGCCUGAUCCAGCCAUACCGCGUAGGUGAAGAAGGCCUUCGGGUUGUAAAGCCCUUUUGUUGGGAAAGAAAAGCAGCAGGUUAAUACCCCGCUGUUCUGACGGUACCCAAAGAAUAAGCACCGGCUAACUUCGUG
rnacentral:rRNA from 1 species